rnacentral:rRNA from 1 species
GGAUGCGAUCAUACCAGCACUAAAGCACCGGAUCCCAUCAGAACUCCGUAGUUAAGCGUGCUUGGGCGAGAGUAGUACUAGGAUGGGUGACCUCCUCGGAAGUCCUCGUGUUGCAUUCC